UGCUUUUCCAUUCCAGGGGCUCAAAGUUCUACUGUAUGUUUUAUUCUAGAGAUCUUCGGGAUUUAAAUGUCAGGAUCGAUUUUGUUUAUUUAUUGCUGAACUUACCGCGACUGACUCAAUAACAAAUCUAAUCAUGUUGGCUCCUGGAGGAGGGGGGAGAAAUAGACUCAUUAUGUAUUUUCUCUAGGUUCGAUUUAACUAUACCCUGUUGUAAAUAUCAGUAUUAUCUCGUAAUUACU
rfam:Anolis carolinensis unplaced genomic scaffold chrTn0083, whole genome shotgun sequence.